rfam:Chelonia mydas contig164638, whole genome shotgun sequence.
AGGAAGCUGGUUUCAUAUGGUGGUUUAGAUUUAACUACUCAGUGUCUAGCACCAUUUGAAAUCAGUGUUCU